rnacentral:SRP_RNA from 1 species
GCUGGGCGUGGUGGUGCAUGCCUGUAGUCCCAGCUAAUAGGAGGCUGAGGCAGGAGGAUCGCUUGAGCCCAGGAGUUUGAGGUUGCUAUGAGAUAUGAUGAUGCCACUGUACUCUAGCCCAGGCAACAGAAUGAGACUGUGUCUCAAAAAAAUAAAUAAAAUAAAACAAAAAGAUAGCUGGGCAUGGAGAAUCACUUGUGCCCAGGAAUUUGAGGUGUAGUGAGCCAUGACUGCACCUGUGAAUACCCAUUGCACUCUAGCUUGGGCAACAGAGUGAGACCCUGUCUCU